GUGGAGAGCUAUUGGUGGCAGCCGGUCACAUGAUCCCGCUCCCCAGCAGACAGUUGGCUGAGCAGGAGGAGGGAUGCUGCAGAGAGGAGAGGAAGGUGGAGGGAUGGAUCUGGAAGGAGAGAGAGUUUCGAGCUCCUAAAGGAAGAAACAGCUCCAGAAAUCUCACAUUUCUGCAGGAAAUUCCACCUUAAAUAUCCUCUAACAGUCCGACCACUGGUCAUGAACGUCAUGAACACAGGCAGUGCAGCUCUGAUCCACUCAUCAUCAUCCUCUCAGACUGGAGCUGAUUUGUUUUAGUGAAUGACCCACCGUGAUCAGCACCUGGAGACUGUGCAGAGGAAAAACUCAGGCUCCAUCUGCCUCGACCGGUCGGACUCGGAGCCUGAAAUGAGAGACCACCUCCAUUACACAUACAGUUUGUAUGGCACUGAAACCUUUCCUCUGUAAUUCCACUUAAAGUUCAGUGAUGUCAGGUUGAAACUUUGGUGCAAAGACAGUUUCUCCAACACAAACUUUUUACUGGUCUACAUCUAUCUUACAGCUGUUUGCCUCCGUGUCACUCUGCAGGUUUUACUAAUAGAAACGUUAGUAUCUUUACUCUGAAAUACUUCUGGUUCUGGUUGUAAUGUAGUUUUCUGGACAGUAGGUGGUGCUGUUGUUUAAAGACUGAAAUUCAGACUGAGCCUCUGCUGCUUCCUUUUUCUAUAUUAGUACACAUUACAUGUUUAUAUAUAUGUACUGUUAAUGUUCGCAGGUGUGACUGGUUUCAUUUAAUCUCUCAUGUUUGUCUAAAAGAUUUUUUUUCUAACUGAAAGUCUGUCUCUGUGUCCUUUCAGAUGGUAGAGAAUCCACGUAUCCUGAUGUUUGCGACUCAUCUAACCUCAUCUAACACAGUCUACCUUCCAUACAGACACACACACCUCAGUGUAAAUGGACCAUCUGUUGAGUUGCAGUGUUUCUGUCUUUUAGUGAAAGCUUUAAGUAUUUUUCAGAUGAUUUUCAACCGUCCGCCUGUCGUCCAUGUACCUGAGUCUGAACUUAGUCUAGACUCAGAGAGACUUAUGGUUUAGUUGGCUGUAAGCUCACUACACUUGUAAUAAUAACAUCAUUCAUACAUACACUUCAACAUACGCUUCAUUCAGUCACAUCCGCCCUGCGGUUAGUGACCGUUAAUCCGCGAUGGUCUGUGGGCUGAUGGGAAAUGGUGUUCGUUAAAAGCCGUUAAAACAAAGUAUUGACUAUUCAACGAUAGUGAAGUUUUUUAAAUUACUCUUCUUAUUUAUUGAUAUCAAAUGAACAACACAUAAUUCUCUUGACUGAGGUUCUGAUCCAAAGGUGGAUACUGAAUUACACAAAUGGGAUCAUGAAUGAUUUCUUGGCUUCAGUUUGGAUCGGUUGGUUUUGUUUUUUGCGUUUCCUGUUAGGUCAUUGUGAACUAGCUGUAGUGAUGUGUCAUGCGCAAAAGAUGCGGCUCUGAGAGCCGAUGCUUUGUAGUGAAUCAGGAACAGUGAAUCAGUUUUUUUCCUUUCGCUGCUUACCUCAGUGCUCAGCCUGAGCUCUGCUCAAGGCAGAACUUUGUUUUGAUUGGUCAGCAUCGCGGCCAAUCAGAUGUGAGGAUAUAGGAUCAUACCAAUAAAAUGUUUGAUUAAAAUAUUAAACAAAAGAAUGGUUUUGUAACAGAAUAAAUGCACAAAAUUAGGCAAUUGUAAGGCACAACACACAAACCAUUAAUUUUUGCAAAGUUAUGGUAAAAUAAAGGCCUACAAAAAAAUCCUAAAUUAAGAGCUGUUCAGGAG